AGUGAACGCUGGCGGUAGGCCUAACACAUGCAAGUCGAACGGCAGCACAGUAAGAGCUCGCUCUUACGGGUGGCGAGUGGCGGACGGGUGAGGAAUACAUCGGAAUCUACUUUUUCGUGGGGGAUAACGUAGGGAAACUUACGCUAAUACCGCAUACGACCUACGGGUGAAAGCAGGGGAUCUUCGGACCUUGCGCGAUUGAAUGAGCCGAUGUCGGAUUAGCUAGUUGGCUGGGUAAAGGCCCACCAAGGCGACGAUCCGUAGCUGGUCUGAGAGGAUGAUCAGCCACACUGGAACUGAGACACGGUCCAGACUCCAACGGGAGGCAGCAGUGGGGAAUAUUGGACAAUGGGCGAAAGCCUGAUCCAGCCAUACCGCGUGGGUGAUGAAGGCCUUCGGGUUGUAAAGCCCUUUUGUUGGGAAAGAAAAGCAGCAGGUUAAUACCCCGCUGUUUUGACGGUACCCAAAGAAUAAGCACCGGCUAACUUCGUG
rnacentral:rRNA from 1 species